ACGGUUGACUUCAUCGCCUCGAUUUAUUCGGGGAGGAAAGUCCGGACAGCGCAGAGCGCCGUACUCCUCAAAAGGGAGGGCUACCAAACGUGGUAGCACAGAUAGUGCUAAAGAAAUUUAUACCGCCGAUGGCUCUUCGGAGAACAGGUAAGGGUGAAAAGGUGAAGUAAGAGCUCACCAGCAGCAAAGUGAUUUGCUGGCUUAGGUAAACCUUGCGGGCUGCAAGACCAUGUAAACUAGUGCCUGAGGGCUGCUCGUUCGAACUAGAGGGUAGGUCGCAUUAGAUCAAUGAUGAAGCCGCAUAGUGCGGAACAGAAUCCGGCUUACACCGUAAAU
rnacentral:RNase_P_RNA from 1 species